rfam:Gossypium arboreum cultivar AKA8401 contig_29578_5, whole genome shotgun sequence.
UGUCAAAAUUUUUAUCAAUUUGUAUUGUUAAAAACUAGCAUAAUUGACGGAAUAACUAGAUAGUAUCUCAUAUUUAUGUACAGGGAUCAGUUUUUAACAGUAGGAAUGAAUAAAAAUUUUAAUU